rnacentral:rRNA from 1 species
CUUGCUCUUCGAUUCAGCGGCGGACGGGUAGUUGCCUAGAAUCUGCCUGGNUAUGGGGACAACGUUUCGAAAGGAACGCUAAUACCGCAUACGUCCUACGGGAGAAAGCAGGGACCUUCGGGCCUUGCGCUAUCAGAUGAGCCUAGGUCGGAUUAGCUAGUUGGUGAGGUAAUGGCUCACCAACGCGACGAUCCGUAACUGGUCUGAGAGGAUGAUCAGUCACACUGGAACUGAGACACGGUCCAGACUCCUACGGGAGGCAGCAGUGGGGAAUAUUGGACAAUGGGCGAAAGCCUGAUCCAGCCAUGCCGCGUGUGUGAAGAAGGUCUUCGGAUCAUAAAGCACUUUAAGUUGGGAGGAAGGGCAUUAACCUAAUACGUUAGUGUUUUGACGUUACCGACAGAAUAAGCACCGGCUAACUCUGUGCCAGCAGCCGCGGUAAUACAGAGGGUGCAAGCGUUAAUCGGAAUUACUGGGCGUACAGCGCGCGUAGGUGGUUUGUUCAGUUGGAUGUG